rnacentral:lncRNA from 1 species
GUUUCUUUUUGUUUGCUUGUUUCUUUUCAGUUUGUGUGGGAAGCUAAUUUGCAUUCAAAGUUCCAGUUCAAGAUCAUUUGAAAGGCAGGUUUUCCUCUUAUACAGAAUUAAAUAUGCAAUGGACCUUUUCUUAACAAACAGGCUGAGAGUCUGUAAUAUACAGAUCUCCAGAUUUCAUUUAGGAGGCAGUUGCAUAUAAAAGAGAAAAAAAUGAAAUUUGAACCAUUCUUUCUAUGUAACUAUAUAGAAUAUAUAUAUAUAUGUGGUUUUUUUUUUCAGGAAAAAAAAAAAAGCAGAGGAACUGGAGGUAAAUGUGGAGACCUCUUCUACUUCAUUUCUGAUUCUGUAGAUUAUCUAUAGAUUCCUACACAGAAGGAGAUGCUACAUCCUUGGAGGAAUUUGUUGGUUUAUGUCUUCAUUCAGCAAAGGCAGGAAAGUAUCAAACCCCAAAGAGCUGAUCUGCCCUAAAUAUCUGAGCAAUAUUCAUUAAAGUCAAAGUAAGAAUUUUUAUUUUUAUUUUUAAUACAUCAGAUAAAUGUGUACAUAGAAGUCUCUUAUUGUUACAAAUGACGAUAGAACUCAAUCUGAAUUUAGUAAUAUUUAUAAAAGGCAAGUAAACAGCGCUGGGUGUGUGGAGAGUCUACUCUCUACCAACACACACACACUAACAUCGAACAUUCAAAAUAUACAGAACAUUGAUUAAACCCAAGUACGCCUAUAAAUAUGUACAAUCAGAGUCCAUGAAGGGGGGAGCAUAGUUGGAGUUCAUAAUCCUGGUUGAAGUGCUCCCAUAUCUUCCAUGACUUAAUUCAUUUUUCUCAGAUCAUCUUGCAUCAAGUUGUCCAGCAACUCGGCCUUCGGGCCUUAUGUAUCCUAAUCUUCCCGGAUAGACAAGAAGCAUUUCCGUCUCCUUUUCAAGGCCAAUAGGGCCUGGAUCGAAAGUCACGUUCAGGUCACCAGGGGGCGUAACAGCAAAAGCCUGAGAUAGCAGUAACGGGGGGGGGUGGGGGGUGUGUGUGUGUAGCAGAAGGAUCGGUGGACGAGCCCGCAGCUCCUGCACUAUCUGGCAAACCACACGUUUCUGACUGUGGUCCCACAUGGCUCUUUAAGGCCUCAGAGAUUGCACGCCACAUCUCCCCCUUCUUUAUUAAUAUCAACUAUCUUGACACGAAUUAUUACUCCAUAUAUCACAUUAUUAAAAUAGAUUUCAAAAUACUGUUUUGCUGAACGAGUACACUCAUAAUGUACCUUAAAUUUAGAAGGAUUUACAGUAUUCUCUAAAGGAUAAACUCUCAAUAAUCUCAGCACAGACAUGAAAUUAGAGAAUUAAAAGGAUUUUUGCCACAAACGUUUAUAUAGAGCCUUGAUUUUAGUUCACUACAGCUGUUAACAUGCAACUACAUAGGGUAUGCUCCAUGCAGUGCUGAACCCUGCAGUGUUGCCCAUGCUUUGUUCUCCACUGUUCUGCAUUGUGUAGUUUUGGUGCCAUAGCUGCCAUCAUUUUUAGGUAGGUAAAAUAUCUCAAAAUGUUAAAAUAACAUAAUUUCAAGUACUAACAUAGUAUUUAUUCAUUUAGAACUGAGGAGACUGUUCCUAGUCUAUUGCUAAAAUGAAGAAUGCUCUUUCACGUUGUGUGACAAAUGAAAACCGUUAAUGGGGUAUGGGAUUCUCAUCCAUAAUGGAUCUCAUUAAGAAGCUUUCUCAAUAAAGCGGCAGUUACACCUAUGGUUUACCUUGUA